rnacentral:rRNA from 1 species
GGCUUAGAGUUUGAUCAUGGCUCAGGAUGAACGCUGGCGGCGUGCCUAACACAUGCAAGUCGAGCGAAGCACUUUGCUUUGAAUCUUUCGGGAGGACGAGUGAUUUGACUGAGCGGCGGACGGGUGAGUAACGCGUGGGUAACCUGCCUCACACAGGGGGAUAACAGUUAGAAAUGACUGCUAAUACCGCAUAAGACCACAGCACCGCAUGGUGCAGGGGUAAAAACUCCGGUGGUGUGAGAUGGACCCGCGUCUGAUUAGGUAGUUGGUGAGGUAACGGCUCACCAAGCCGACGAUCAGUAGCCGGCCUGAGAGGGUGGACGGCCACAUUGGGACUGAGACACGGCCCAAACUCCUACGGGAGGCAGCAGUGGGGAAUAUUGCACAAUGGGGGAAACCCUGAUGCAGCGACGCCGCGUGAGCGAAGAAGUAUUUCGGUAUGUAAAGCUCUAUCAGCAGGGAAGAAACUGACGGUACCUGACUAAGAAGCACCGGCUAAAUACGUGCCAGCAGCCGCGGUAAUACGUAUGGUGCAAGCGUUAUCCGGAUUUACUGGGUGUAAAGGGAGCGUAGACGGAUAGGCAAGUCUGUAGUGAAAGCCCGGGGCUCAACCCCGGGACUGCUUCGGAAACUGUUUAUCUAGAGUGCUGGAGAGGCAAGUG